rnacentral:rRNA from 1 species
AGAUGGGCCGUACUCCGCAAGAGGUGGAGAUCCUCACGAACGGCUCCAGAGGCUGGAACAGGAGAUAGCCAGCUUGAAGCAAGGGUCCGUUGUACCUGCUGCUCCAAGCCCUGCCAUCAGCACUCCCAUGCUCCUCGCCACAGGUUCGACAAUAGCGCCGAA